GACGUAGGGCGCGAGCGUUGUCCGGAUUUAUUGGGCGUAAAGAGCUCGUAGGCGGCUUGUCGCGUCGACUGUGAAAACCCGCGGCUCAACCGCGGGCCUGCAGCCGAUACGGGCAGGCUAGAGUUCGGUAGGGGAGACUGGAAUUCCUGGUGUAGCGGUGAAAUGUGCAGAUAUCAGGAGGAACACCGGUGGCGAAGGCGGGUUGCUGGGCCGACACUGACGCUGAGGCGCGAAAGCUAGGGGAGCGAACGGG
rnacentral:rRNA from 1 species